GGAAGACCUAAAAAUAGAGGGCAAAAAGCCAACCGAGCUUGGUGAUAGCUGGUUACUCAACAAAUGAACCUUAGUUCAACUUUAGGUGCCCAUGGGCCAACUACUUUAACCCACCACCCUUUAACCUAAAGAAAUUCAAUGGGGGUACAGCCCCAUUGAACCGGAAUACAACCCGAAUUGAGAGACACCUACUAAACUUUAACCCUAACAGUAGGCCCCAAAGCAGCCACCAACUAAACGCGUUACAGCUACAACAAAACAAUUUUUACAAUAAUAUACACCUCCUAGUAUACCACGAGUUAUUCUAUUUUUUAAUAGAAACACCAAUGCUAAAAUUAGUAAUAAGAAACCCUAAUUUCUCUCCGCACCCCCUUAAAUCAGAAUAGAAAAACUACUGAUAAUUAACACAACACGACCUACAACAACUAGCUAACAUGUCAACUAAAAUCUGUUACCCCAACACAGGAGUGCAAAAAAGAAAGGCAAAAAGCCAUAAAAGGAACUCGGCAAACCCUACCGUCCCAACUGUUUACCAAAAACAUAGCCUUUAGCUCAACAAGUAUUAAAGGUCCCGCCUGCCCAGUGACUCUUUAAACGGCCGCGGUAUCCUAACCGUGCAAAGGUA
rnacentral:rRNA from 1 species